UACAGAGGUCUCAAGCGUUGUUCGGAUUCAUUGGGCGUAAAGGGUGCGUAGGCGGCGCGGUAAGUCGGGUGUGAAAUCUUGGAGCUUAACUCCGAAACUGCAUUCGAUACUGCCGUGCUUGAGGACUGGAGAGGAGACUGGAAUUUACGGUGUAGCGGUGAAAUGCGUAGAUAUCGUAAGGAAGACCAGUGGCGAAGGCGGCUCACUGGCCCGGAACUGACGCUGAGACGCGAAAAGCGUGGGGGAGCAAACAGG
rnacentral:rRNA from 1 species